UACAGAGGUCUCAAGCGUUGUUCGGAUUUAUUGGGCGUAAAGAGCGUGUAGGCGGCUAGAUAGGUCCGUUGUGAAAACUCGAGGCUCAACCUCGAGACGUCGAUGGAAACCAUCUGGCUAGAGUCCGGAAGAGGAGAGUGGAAUUCCUGGUGUAGCGGUGAAAUGCGCAGAUAUCAAGAGGAACACCUGCGGCGAAGGCGGGUUGCUGGGCCGACACUGACGCUGAGGCGCGAAAGCCAGGGGAGCGAACGGG
rnacentral:rRNA from 1 species